rnacentral:lncRNA from 1 species
CCCCCUCAGGAUUCACUUCUCAACACAGGAUGCCUCUCUUUUUCCUAUAUUUAUUGAUGCAAGGCUUCAUGAUCUCCACACUACUGCAUUAUGGGUUGGAUAGCAAGCUGCAAUCAGGAGCUCUCCUGUGCACCAAAGGCUGCUUAGGAUUGUCGCUGAUUCCCAUAUACCAGAUUUCAGUAGCUCAGGUCAUGGAAAACAAGAAAUGUCUUUAGAUAUUCCUGAUGCUCCCUGGAGACCAUAUUACACCCGCUUACAAACCGCUGCUUGAGAUGCUAGCCUCCCUCCACUCUGCCCUCUUCUUGCUUCCCAUCACUCGCUGGUCCACUAUAGAGCAAUCCCAGCUCCACCUUUCACUGAAACUGUAGCUCCCUAGCUCUCUGAAGACAUCGUGAUUCUCAUCAAGUCGAAAGCCUCUCCUCUCGGGAUUUACUCAGUUUCGCCUUCCUGUUCCAGCCCCCAUUUUCCUAAGCUGGUCUCUGAGGUAGGUGUUACUGCACUUAUGAUGGGAGCAAUAAAAUGGCUAGAGGUGAUGAAGCCAUCUACUGUGUAGCUGAUGAAGUAAAGACGUGACUCCAGGGAGCUGAGGCAGAAACCACUGGCCUCUGCAGCAUUCCAUGCCCUGGCCAGGCACCAGACAUCCUUGUAGAGUAGAGUUCCUGUCCCUAGCAGUGAAAGGAAGACAAAUCAAGACAAUGAGAGCCAUGAGGAGUAUAAGCUGGGUAAUGCGCAACAUCUGAUUUAAAAAGAACAAAGCUCUCAAAGAGAGACUGAAACACAGGACAAACGUGGAUAGUGGGUCAGAUAAGUGGGAAUUCUCCACCAAAUU